rnacentral:rRNA from 1 species
AGAGUUUGAUCCUGGCUCAGGAUGAACGCUGGCGGCGUGCGUAACACAUGCAAGUUGGACGACGGUGUCAUGAAGUGGUAACACGGAAUGGCAUACGGAGUAGCGGACGGGUGAGUAAAGCAUGAGGAGCUGUCCUGUCGAGGGGGAUAACGUUCGGAAACGGACCCUAAUACCCCAUAGUCCGAGAGGUUAAAGGCAGAGAUGCGCGACAGGAGGUACUCGUGUCCUAUCAGCUGGUUGGUGAGGUAACGGCUCACCAAGGCAACGAUGUCUAGGGGUUCUGAGAGGAAGAUCCCCCACACUGGAACUGAGACACGGUCCAGACUCCUACGGGAGGCAGCAGUGAGGAAUCUUCCACAAUGGGCGAAAGCCUGAUGGAGCAACGCCGCGUGCAGGAUGAAGGCCUUCGGGUUGUAAACUGCUUUUAUGAUUGAGGAAUUUGACAGUAGAUCAUGAAUAAGGAUCGGCUAACUACGUGCCAGCAGCCGCGGUCAUACGUAGGAUCCGAGCGUUAUCCGGAGUGACUGGGCGUAAAGAGUUGCGUAGGCGGUUUGUUAAGUGAAUAGUGAAAUCUGGUGGCUCAACCAUACAGGCUAUUAUUCAAACUGGCAAACUCGAGAGUGGUAGAGGUCACUGGAAUUUCUUGUGUAGGAGUGAAAUCCGUAGAUAUAAGAAGGAACACCGAUGGCGUAGGCAGGUGACUGGACCAUUUCUGACGCUAAGGCACGAAAGCGUGGGGAGCGAACCGGAUUAGAUACCCGGGUAGUCCACGCCGUAAACGAUGGAUGCUAAUUGUUUGAGGUAUCGACCCCUCGAGUAAUAAAGCUAACGCGU